CUUUUAGAGCAUGAAAGCUGUCAACUUUGCUCCUGCCUUGCACUUCACUGAGGAGUAAUGAGACCAGUCGUCAUAUAUCUGGUUGUGUUUGAAGUCUGAACAAAUACGGCUGAACACGAAUUUCGAUCUAAAAUGAAAACUAAAGGUCAAGAACAGAGAAUUCUGCUAAGGAGAGGAAAUCCAUGCACACUGGACAAAUUCCUUAGGGAAAGAAAGACACACGAGUUUUCAAGAAGGCAGAGCCACGCUGACAUUAUGAGGCUAUGUAAAUCAGCUGAGAAGGCUCAGCAGUAGGAUAUCAUUCAUUCAUCAAGGAGUUCUGUAAACAAGACAGAAGUUUUUGUUAUGCAACAAACAGAAUGACCGGAAGAGAAACAGGUGUCAAAAUAAAGCAAAAUGUUAAUAUGGAGGAGAGGAGAUUAAAGCAUCAUAGCCCAGACCAGAACCCAAAACUGAAGUCAAAUCAAAAAGAGAAAAAGAGACAACAGAACUAGAGAACCAGAAUGAAUUUUGAGAAUGCUUUUGUUAAUCUUUGAUAAAUCUGCAAAUUCAGACAACUAAGUGAUCAUAGGAAGUGCAUUUUAUACCCUUUGACCCCUGAUGUCAUUAGACAUUAGCAACUGCACAGCAACCAGUAAACAUAACUGCAUACGAUAGAUGCUCCCAUAUAAGAACAAAAUGGUGUCGUGGAAAGAUACAAAUACUGUAAAUUGAAAAUAACUCCAAAAAACAAACAUCAGGAAAAGCUUUCUAGUGUUAGAAACAAAUGCAAAUAUUUAAAACAGAGCAAAAAUGAAGUUCACUGACGAUAAAUUUAAGGUAAGGUAGUCAUAAUCACUAAUCGUGGUGCUUGAGUAUGGCAAUGUGUAACAUGUUGACUAGCACAUGCAAUUAAGAAUUUUACUGUAUUCUAUACAUGUGACAAUAUGUACCCUGAAAUCUAUCAACUGAAAACCUGAAAAGAAUUUAGUUGGAGAAUCAUACUAAGAAUUGCACAAUGGUAAUUAAUAGUUUACUAUAAACUCAUUUUGUUACUUUGUUGUUUUCAAAAGUUAUUUCAGCUAAUACUGCAAUAAUGGAGGUUCAAUGGUUAAUACUGCUGCUUCAGUGAUCUAGCAUAGUGUAGUUCAGUCCUGCCCAUCUUACUGUUAAUGUAGACUUUAAACAUCUUCCUCAUACAAGCUUUUAUUUUUCUCUGAGUAUUCUUGCCUUCCUUCUACAAUAAAUAGUUAUUUGUGUUGAUUACAAAUUAGCUCUGUGUCAGUUCUUAUGCACUGCACAAACUGUUUCCUGCCUUGUGCCCCGUGUUACCAGA